UUGUUGAAGCGAUGGCUGAGAGACAGGAAGGGCAAGUGAUUGCAGAGUUCAUGUUGCCUUCCUCAUUGGGUACAGGCACUGGGCUUACUGUAGGAAUGGUUGAAGAUGUUCGUGAUGCAGACAUCGAUGUUGAAGCUACCUGCUUGUUGCCUAGCUCUGGGGUCAGUGAUUGCAAUGCAUCUAUUCGUAAGUGUUUG